AUUUUACAUUUUUGUUAACAGAUCAUUAAAGAUGAGCAGGAGUGACAGUGGAACACGUGUUUUUGUUGGAGGUCUUACAGAAGAUGUCCAAAAAGAAGACCUGGAAGUAGAGUUUGGAAAAGUUGGGAAGAUUGUUAGCGUUUGGGUAGCACAAAAUCCACCUGGUUUUGGUUUUGUUGAGUUUGAUGACAGAGAAGAUGCCGAUGAAGCGAUAAAGGCAAUGAAUGGUCAGCUUAUCAAUGGCACAAGAAUCAGGGUAGAAAUGUCAAGAGGAAGACGUGGUGGAAGAGGUGGAGGCCGAGGCAGAGGAGGUGGAUCCAGAGGAAGAGGAGGUGGUGGUUACAGAGGUGGUCGUGGAGAUUUUAGUAGACGAGGCUCAUCAUACGACAGUUACGGGGGCAAUGGUGGCUUUUCUCGCAGAGGUGGAGGAUACAGGUCUCGUGAUGGAGGAGGUAGAUUUGAUAAUUUUGACUCCUACGACAGAGGUUAUGAUUCUUAUGACUACAAGAGCUCUGGACCAAGUUACCGCAGCAGGUCCCCUAUUGGUAACAGAUAGUUUACAAUAAUAAUUCAUUUUCUGUUAAGAAUACAUGGGAAAGGAGAUGAAAUUAUUAUAAAUUAAUCAUUGCUUUAAUAACUCAUUUGCACAUUUUUUGUGGUAUAUUUUCCACUUUUUCAGAAAAAAGACAGUUUCUACUGAUUACAAGGUGUCCUUGAAGUAGCUUCGGAAGUACUGCUAUCAUGUCAGUUAAGGCCCUUGCGUUUUUUCAAGGGCCAUAUAGUCCUGCGACAGAAGCAUAAUGUCUCAUCAGUCAUCUUGUGAUUUUCUUGAAUGCCAUUUUUUUAAAAUCAAUUUAGCUGUUUUUCAUCUUUUGGUUGUCAUUUCUUAUCGAGAUUUGUUGAAAGCCACAGAUCUUUCACAAGCUACAGGUACUUUAAAACAUGUCCUGUGGGUUUCAUCAACUUGUGAAUGUACAUUUGAAAUAAACUGAAAAUAAACAUCACUUUCACUUUUA